GAAUGUGCAAGUCAUGGCUGCAGCCGUGGGGUUAAUCCCAGCCUGAAACGCGGCUUUGUGUGAUGGGAGGUUAAAAAAAAAAAAAAAAAAAAAGUUUGGAAAAAGGGAAAAUUGGGUUUUUUUAUCACAAAAUGACGCAUCAGAAAAAUAGCAUCCCACUAACAGCAGCCGAUUUCUCACCGGUUUUGCAGGAAACGCCCUGAAAACGCCAUGGAAAAAACUCCUCGGUGCUGCCCGCGUCAUCUGCGCGUUAAUGGCGCUAAUUGGCGUUAAUGAGAGGGCCCCGUGUGGCUGCGACAUGACUCAGCACGGCUGCGGAAUGGUGUGAAAUGGGGACAUUUUGGUGCAUUUUGUGGAAAAACGGGCGUGAGAAGGGGAUGCGGGUUGGUGGGGGUUAAAAGGCGGCUGGGGUACUGCUGGAAAAAAAGGGAAACUCAGUGGAAAAAAACAGAGUUUUUGGUGCUUUGCAGCUAACCGAGGGAAAUGAGUGGGAAAAAGGCAAUUUUGGGGUGUUCUUUUUUUAAAAAAAAAAAAGUGCAUAGAAAUUGGACCUUUCCCCCCCCCAGAUUCGGGGCUUUUGGGGGGGAGAGGUCGCAGUUGGCACAGCACAGUGGGGGCAAAACCAGGGGGAAAUUAAUACGGGAAAAAAAGAAAGAAAACAACAGCGAAAACGCUGGAAAAUGGCACCAGAAAGGCUGGAGAUGUUUAAAACAGGGGAGGAAAAAAAAAAAGGGGGGGGGGGAAGGGGUGAAAUUUAACCCUUCCCGUGGUGAAACAAAGAAAGGAGCUGACGCCUUUCAGCAGCGCUCCUUGCUGAGGAGUUUUUUUGGGGGGGAAAACACUUUGAAAAGAGGCUUCGUGCUGCGCAGGGGUGGCUUUUUUCUUUCUUUCUUUCUUUCUUUCUUUCUUUUUUUUGUUAUUUUGGGUCGUUUUGGGGGCGUUUUGGGGACUAUUUUGCCCCCCCCCCUUCCCCCCCGCGGAAGCGGAGCCGCAGCGCCGCCUGCUUCCCCUAUAAAGCUCCGCCCGAGCGCGGGGUGCGCAGGGGAGCAGAGGCAGAGGCGCAGGGAAAGGGCUGCGGAUUUGCGCUGAAUUCCGCACAUUUCCGAAAUUUGCUUUUUUUAGGCGAGAGGCAGCGAGCGCCAGGCGCCUUCCAGCAGCCCCCGAUUGGCUCUGGGGGCCGUUUCCUUCAAGCUCUGCCUUCCCCUUCCUCGAGACGGGGCUUUAAGAAGGAGGAAAAUGGGAAAAGCGAGAGCAAACGAGAGCGUGGAGGAGCCGCGGGGAGGGCGAGCCAGAUGCGGGGCGAAAGCAGCGGGGCUUUGCGGCAGCCGAAGAGCAAGUGGAGGGGGAGACAGUGAACGCGGAGCUGAAACGUGAAGUUUUGGAGAGAGAGAGAGAGGAAGCUGGCUCAGAGAGAAGAUGGAUGCGAGGAGGAAGGAGUGUGCGGGAGAGAAGAGAGCAGGGAGAAGUGAGCGAGAUGGAAAAGAUGGGUGGAAGCGCGGAGUGGAAGGAAUGGCAGAGCGAGGUGAGCCGCGGCUUCACGCCGACGCGGCCCCGAGCCCUCCCCAGAGGCGGCCAUUGCCCCGGCACAGCCAAAAAGCCGCGUUUUUAACCCAAAACGUGGCAGCAGGAGGAGGAGGACAGGCGGUUUGGUCCCGGCCGGCGCCGUUCGGGGGCGUUGUAGGAAGAGCUGGGAUUGCGGAGCCGGGACAGGAAGAGCGGAGGCGGCGAUGAGGCAGGGAGGAGAAAUUUAGAGGAGAAAAACGGACUUUUUGGUUAAAACCGCGCGUGGGGCCCUGGGACGGAACGCAGAGGUCAGGAGGAAACGGGAGGAAAAGAGGAAAUAAUGGCAAAAAUGAGAGGAGAAAAUAAUGGGGAAAAGAGGA